GAGAGUAUAGCUCAGUGGUAGAGCGCUCGACCGGCGAUCGAGAGGUCCUCGGUUCAAAUCCAUGUGUUAUCU